rnacentral:lncRNA from 1 species
AAGAAAGCGCAAAAGAGAGCAAACAAAAGACCGAGCCUCAUUAAAACCUUCUAAGAAGAAGAGACCUUAGAAGGAAAAAGAGUACUCGUGAAAGACUCACAUUCGGUUCAGGAGCGGGAAGAGACAACUUCAGGAAUUCCGGCCUAACCAUCACCCCUAAGAAGCUCGGCUCAAGAAAACCGGAAGAAGAAGAACCAAGAAAGAAAACAGGAGACCAACAACAAAAGAAAGCAACCCAACCAAAGCCUAAGGGAACCAACGAACCUGCUUAUAUAACCAUACGGAUAUGACUAUGCGUCGACAUAUCCCUUGCAACCGCAAUCCUAAUCUCCUCAAUCGCAAAAGGCCACCAGCCUUCCUGCCGAUCAUCAUUGGCCAUAAUAUCUGCCGGUUGAUUACCCUCACGGUAAAUAUGCGAGACCAUCAAAGAAAAAUCCAGAAGCAGGCGAAGAGUAUGCUGCCAAAACGCCCUAAAUCUCCA